UCGUUAGGAUUAAGAAGCUCAUUAAUUAAUUUAUAUUAACUCAUCUUGUUUAAAUUUUAGUUGAAUUCACCAAUUAAAUUCUAUUAGGUUAUAAUUGAAACCCCAUUAUUUAAUAACAAUUCAUCCCAUCUUUUAAGAUUAAUUUUGGGCCCUUUUAUUUCACUCCAGCAGGCCCAAUUCCCAUUUCCAAUCACAAAUAAAUUUCCAGCCCAUUAUACUCCCUCCAGCAGCCCAAAUCAAUUACCCCUAGCCCACUUCUUUUUCAAUUCUUUUCCAUUCCAACCAUACCCAUAAACCCAAACCCACAACAAUACAAUACAUAUAACAACAAUACAAUACAUACGUACAGCAGUAGCAAUUCCAGCCGACCCCCAUCCCCUUUCCCUUCACAAUUCCAACUCUACAAUACGAUAAACAACAUCCAUACAGUACCAAAACAGCCCCUGCCAGCGUCUUCCUCUUCCCCAGACGCAAAUCCAAAAAUGUCAAAGCAACAGUAGUCCAAAUCUCUGCAACAGCCGCCCAUCCUAAUCUUGUCAUCCGGAUUUCGUGGGAUUUGGGUUGAUUUCUUGGAAAAACGAACAGCUCUUUGGUUCUUGAAAUUUUUUGAAUUGAGGAUUGAGUGGGAGAAUUCCUAUUCUAUCCUUUCCCCCGAGAAUCCGAGCCCUAAUUCCCCCAUCUAUAUAAUACCCCUUCUUAUUCAUUGUUUGGGGGGAUUUUUCUUUUAUUUUAGCAAAAAAUAUAUAUUUAAGGAUUAGUGUCUAAAUACAAGAAGAUAUACUUCAAAAACAGGGGAUACAAGAACUUUCGGCGUUUGGGUUCAAUUUUCUGCCCAAAUCUCUUGACCAUUGUCUGUAACUGAGUUCUCGUAGUGAAGGUCGUCGUUUCAGCUCGUCGUCCUAGUAUCGCUGCUCCGGAAAAGUGGCUAUUGUCAAGAAUGCCUCCUUUGAUUGUUGUUGUGAUUGUGUGAUCUAGGAAUUUAAUAUAUUUAACCAUAUUCAAGCAUGCAAGAUCAUAGUGUUGCCCCCAUACGGUUGAUUAUUAAUACCAAUGUAAUAUUUCCUAGCGGAACGAACAAGUGUGGUUGAUCCCAGGAAGUUUGGUUUCUUUUUAGCAUUUGGGAAAUGUUAUCUUGUUAAAUGAGUUGAUUUUAAACUAAGCGCAUUUGUUUUACAUUUUCUUGUUAACUUAAGCAUAUUCGGUUGUGUUAUGUCUUCUUAGUUAGCAUAGUUUGAUGUUUGGAUGUAGAUGAAUCCGUCAUGCUUGAUUUGCCAAGGUUUCAACUUCUCCCAUUUGUUCAUCACAUAGCUAGUAUAUAAUCUUCAAAUAAGCUCAAAAAUUUAGAAGUGUUCAAUGUGUUUUGGAAUAAUACCAUGUGCUGUGAUUGAUUUCCCUAGAUGAUAAUGCAAUGUGAUUGGAAAUUAAUAAUGCUCACAUGUGGUCUCUUCCCAUUCUUGGUGUGUAAGGUUAGCUGUAAUUGAAUUUGCAAUGAAAAUGCCAAAGUUUCCUUUAGUUUAAAAUGGUACAUCAAUCAAUCUUCUUAUUCCAUUUGCUAAUUUGUAUUUAUUUGUCCACUUUAUGUAUGUCCGAGUGAGUCCUAUGUAUUCAUGUCUACACCUCGCAUUUCAAAUGGGCCUCGGAGGCCUAAAACUCCCUCUUAUCGAGUCAACCUCGUCAUUGGGAGCAUAUGGAAUUCGAAGAGGAAAUCUAUGUUAUAAAAGAAGCUGAAACAGAUCUCAAAAAGCCAAAAACGCAGGUGGAAAAAGGCAAAUAUACAAUGAUAUACAACAGAUAUACAUCGAUAUACAGGUCAAAAACGCAGGAAUACAGGGCUGGAGUGAAAUACAUGUGUUCGGAAGCAAUAAAAUACAUGAAAGGGGCUGAUAUACAUGCCGAUAUACAUCAGCUGUAUACCAAAAACGGGAUUGAGUAAAUCCCCAGAAAUUACAGCGAAUUUGGCCCCAAAAAGAGGCCCAAAUUCAAUUUCUAACUUA